rnacentral:rRNA from 1 species
GACGAACGCUGGCGGCGUGCUCAACACAUGCAAGUCGAACGAUGAAACCUAGCUUGCUAGGUCGAUUAGUGGCGAACGGGUGAGUAACACGUGACUAACCUGCCCCUUUCUCUGGGAUAACGCUCCGAAAGGAGUGCUAAUACCGGAUACUCACAUCGAGGCACAUGCCUUGGUGUGGAAAGUUUUUCGGAAAGGGAUGGAGUCGCGGCCUAUCAGCUUGUUGGUGAGGUAACGGCUCACCAAGGCGACGACGGGUAGCCGGCCUGAGAGGGCGACCGGCCACACUGUGACUGAGACACGGCCCAGACUCCUACGGGAGGCAGCAGGGGGGAAUAUUGCACAAUGGGCGCAAGCCUGAUGCAGCGACGCCGCGUGAGGGAUGAAGGUCUUCGGAUUGUAAACCUCUUUCAGUAGGGACGAAGCGAAAGUGACGGUACCUAAAGAAGAAGCACCGGCUAACUACGUGCCAGCCGCCGCCGUAA